rnacentral:lncRNA from 12 species
CGAGGGGAGAGUCGGGGGAUGCUCCUACAGCCACCCUGCAGAGGCGGCGCUGGGGGCGGCCCGGGCCACGCGGGCCUGCUGGGGACUGGGGACGGGUGCUGUGUGCACCCACCACACGGGACGGCCGUCCGCCUUAUGUGCCGCCAGCUUGGAGGUUCUCUGCUAAAGUAAGUACCUUCCCACAGGUUUCUUUCAAGUCUACUCUUUACAAAGAUUUUACAUUAAUUUUAGGGCAGCCCGGGGGGCUCAGCGGUGGAGCGCCUGCCUUGGGCCCAGGGCCUGACCCCGGGGUCACGGGAUCAGUCCCACGUCGGGCUCCCUGCAGGGAGCCUGCUCCUCCCUCUGCCUGGGUCUCUGCCUCUCUCUCAUGAAUAAAUAAAUAAAAUCUCAAAAAAAAAUAAAUUUAUUUUAGAGAGAGAGAGAGAGUGAGGAGAGGGACGGGAGAGAGAGUCUCUAGCAGACUCCCCGGCCCGACCCCGCCCGUCCCUGCUGGCUGCCCUGACCCCGACCUGACCCUGCCCCCCCACGGGCUGCCCUGACCCCGACCUGACCCCGCCCCCCCACGGGCUGCCCUGACCCCGCCCCCCGCGGACUGCCCUGACCCCGACCUGACCCCGACCUGACCCCGACCUGACCCUGCCCCCCCACCGCGGGCUGCCCUGACCCCGACCUGACCCCGCCCCCGCCCGCCCCUCCCCGCCCCCGACGCGCCCUGGGGGCUCCUCUCCGGGCUCCUCGGCUCCCGGCUCAGCGCCUCGAGCGUGGAACCGUGGACCGUUCCUGCGAAGGACGGAGAAGCCCGGCCGUGGGGGUGGGUCGGGGUUGAGGCGGGGCCGGGGCCGGCGGGAGGGACCCGUGUGCGGCGGCGCAACCGCGGGAGGAGCCCGUGGCCGUCGCCCACCGAGAGGGCGGCCGCUCUUCGCCUGCGGUCUCAGUUGUUCUACCACCUGCUACACAGUGCUGCCAGCCUGCCGGGGACGGGCCACCACUGACCCCACCGCUCGCCCCACUGCUGGCCCUGUCGCUGGCCCCGAUGCUGACCCCGUUGCUGACCCCAUCGUGGACCCCGUCGCCCGCCAGCCCACCUGCUCCUUACCUCCCCGUGUCCUGUUUUCCCACGACAAGGCGAAUCACCGAAGGCCGAGGACCCUGGGCGCCAGCCUGGAACCCGUCGCUCACUGGGUGCUAUGGUAA